UACACUCCUGCGGGAGGCAGCAGUGGGGAAUUUUGGACAAUGGGCGAAAGCCUGAUCCAGCAAUGCCGCGUGAGUGAAGAAGGCCUUCGGGUUGUAAAGCUCUUUUGUCAGGGAAGAAACGGUGAGAGCUAAUAUCUUUUGCUAAUGACGGUACCUGAAGAAUAAGCACCGGCUAACUACGUGCCAGCAGCCGCGGUAAUACGUAGGGUGCAAGCGUUAAUCGGAAUUACUGGGCGUAAAGCGUGCGCAGGCGGUUUUGUAAGUCUGAUGUGAAAUCCCCGGGCUCAACCUGGGAAUUGCAUUGGAGACUGCAAGGCUAGAAUCUGGCAGAGGGGGGUAGAAUUCCACGUGUAGCAGUGAAAUGCGUAGAUAUGUGGAGGAACACCGAUGGCGAAGGCAGCCCCCUGGGUCAAGAUUGACGCUCAUGCACGAAAGCGUGGGGAGCAAACAGGAUUAGAUACCCUUGUAGUCCCA
rnacentral:rRNA from 1 species